rnacentral:piRNA from 1 species
UACCACACAAGCACUCUCGUUUGCAAGUAGGU